CAAUGUGGCUGGUCCAAGAAUCACACUUUGAGAACCACUGCUUUCGGCCAGUCUCCAUGAGAGAAAGUUCCCAACCUCUGACUGCAAGUUUAUUUUGACCAUUUACCAUAACUUCAACUUCAAUGCUCUUCUUGAAGGGCAUGACUUGUCAUCCUAAUAUAAUUAGCCCCUCUUCCAGCAGAUCAGAUCCACAAUACGCCCCAGCCUCUGGAGGACACAGAGAGAAUGGAAGUCAUGGAGAAGAAAAGAGAAAAGUGUCAGAGGACCAGGAUAUACCCUCAGGACUAGCACUGUGCCUGCCGUAGAACGGGGCCUGCUCAGUGUUUUUUGGGUUGAGCUGCAUCUUAGAAUGAAAUCCUACAACUGAGGUGGCUAAAGGAAUUAAAAAUGGUAUCUGUAAUGUUAAAUUUCAGACUGCUGCACAAUACAUCAGUUUUAGGUACUUUUUAAAAGAUGAACAAGUACAAGACUUCAAAGAAGUCUCUCCCUUGUGAAGGGUCCCUUCCGGCUUCACUUUAGAGUCUCUGCACUUUUAGUUCAUCUCAUUUGGGUGUUUCAAGGGAACAGAGAAGCCCUGGUUUAGAUGAUGUAGGGUUUUCUGAUGCCAAAGUGAGAAUGAUAAAAUGUCUGAAGGAAGAACACGAUGCUAUGCAUUCCAGGCAGAAUCUGGACUUGAAAACAACGAAGCACAAAUGCUUUUAGAUGAACUGAUUCACUUUUAUUUUGUAAACAUCCUAGAAGAAUUCCAUUUGCACUGAACUGUUUGAACCACUGCAGAGCUCUUGGUCCUUCUAAUCCCCAAGGAAAGUCGAUCCAUCGCGUCCUGCUGCACUUUAUUUCUCCACUUUGCCCCUUUUCUCAAUUCUUUGUGAUCAGCAUAAAGUUUGAACCGUGCCUGUUCUCGCCUUCCUGCCUGGCCACCUGUCCAGCCCUGCGGUCAGCUGUACUGACCAGCAGACGGUGGUGCCUCUCUUGCCAAGUGGAGCCGACGCUCUGUGACCAUUGUUCGUGGGGCCACACUGCCAUCCCCAUCGUUGCCCCUUCAAGACACUCGUCAACAGCUGUAAGAGGCUUCCCAUCCUCGCCCGUAUAAAAGGAAGGCCUGAAAACACUUCUCGGAGCAUCAGUUCAUAGGUCACCGCAACCGGCCGAACAAUACGCGAUUAUUCAACGGGCUCCAAUUCAUUUUCCUCUGCUCCUCCCCCACCGUUACCCUUGAGAGAAAACUAAUUUGCAGAAAAAUAGCCUCUGCCAGCCAACUUCUUCUCCUAAAUGUAUGCUGACCCCGAACUCUUGUCUCAGUGGGUCCUUAUUCUCAUAGUCAAUGCACAGGAGUUCUGAAAAGCAGUCUUCUCCUUUAAAAACCUCCCCCACCCCCCAGCAUCUCAGUCCGGGAGAUGGUUUCUUUUUCUGCUAUUCUUUGCUUCUCUUUUUAACAUGUGUGCUGAAAUUGGCACUUUCUCUGUUCAGUUCACUCCCUUUCUAGUAUUAAUGCAGCAACGGAGAAAUGUGCGCAAUUUCUCCAGUCUCUGCGCUAGUUGAGCCCAUGGGUGAUGGAUGAAAUGUAACAUGCUCUUCCUUACAUAUUACUAUUUAAGGGAAGCGCCCGGGCCGGCUGGUGAUGCAUGGUGCUCUCCACAGCGCCCCGCGCAAGCAGGGAGCCCAGGCUGCCUGCACCGUUGUCUGAGUAAAUAAUGGGGCUAAUAGCAUUUGGUGCAAAUGAGACUCCUAUAGAAGGCAUCGGGCUUGUUCAUCUCGUUAUGAUUUUUCUUUGUCGAGAAGCCUUCUCUCUCUGUCCUCAUCAGAGCUUCCCCAGUGUGGCCUGCCUUGGUUAUCUGGGGAGGAGGGAAGGUCUCGGGGAGUUCAAGAUUUUGUAACUAAUAUUGAACGCCAGGGAGAAUGGAUGCCAAGGUCAGGUUAAGAAUAAAGAAAAUUGAUUUGGAGGUCAGGGUCACAAUGUGAAAGGCCUUCAAUGCUGCCAAAA